GAUGAACGCUGGCGGCAUGCCUAACACAUGCAAGUCGAUCGGUAAGGCUCUUCGGAGUACACGAGAGGCGGACGGCUGAGUAACGCGUAGGAACACACCCUGCAGUGAGGGAUAAGACACCGAAAGGUGUUCUAAUACCGCAUACGGUCUUCGGAUUAAAGCAUUUAUGCGCUGAAGGAGUGGCCUGCGUCAUAUUAGAUAGUUGGUGAGGUAAUGGCUCGCCAAGUCGAUGAUGUGUAGCUGGUCUGAGAGGAUGAUCAGCCAGACUGGAACUGAGACACGGUCCAGACUCCUACGGGAGGCAGCAGUGAGGAAUAUUUCACAAUGAGCGAAAGCUUGAUGGAGCAAUGCCGCGUGCAGGAUGAAGGCCCUCGGGUUGUAAACUGCUUUUAUAAGAGAAGAUUAUGACGGUAACUUAUGAAUAAAGGACGGCUAACUACGUG
rnacentral:rRNA from 1 species